ACCAAUGGUAAUCUGCUGUACAAACGUAGUGGACAGGGACUGAAAUGAACUCGCAUUAUCCACUCGCUCAUAUCUUUUGAAAAGUAUUUGAUGGUUUCAUGACUGUUCCGCAAUGGGGAAAAUAAGCCUUUGAAACCAGCUGAAAGGAUAGCCUUGUGUCGCUUACCAUACACCUUUGCAAGAUAUUGUUUUUCUUAUUUCUCAAACACCACACGCAAGGUUGCAAGUGGCAACUGAGACAAUUGGAAACUGUAUCCUUCGCGGUUGCCAUAGUUAUAUUGUGAACCAACAAUGGCGCAUUGUGGGUGAUCCCGCUAAUGUUUCAGGACCAGCGCUCAUUCCCCUAUCACAGUGGACACAAGAAACACUGCCACUGUAGAAAAAAAACCUAUAUAUCCGUUUUUGGUUCCCGUCCCUGCCGACAUGGCCUGGCACUCCCACAUGGUUCACCACAGAUGCACCCUGCCCUCCAUACUGGACACAUAUCACAGCUCACAUGAUCGGAACAAGAAGAUAGACAGUGACCCAAAACCACCCACUCAGAAGAGGUUCGGCUCCAUCAGAGAGAAGGAGGAGGCGGCCAUCUUCCAGACCGUCCCUGGCGUGGAUCCAGAUCCUGAGGCGCUGAUGAAGCACAGAGCCCUUCAG